UCGGAACAGGAGAAUCAGUGACAAUGUCCAGGAAUUGUCAGUGACAGAUGAGGCCCUACCGGUUGAAAAAUUCGAUCGCUUCUAUUUGUUGAACACAGUGCUGAGUGAAACACUUGAUGCCAUUAACCGAGUUUCGGAGAAUGAGAGGAGAUCUCAUGGAAACACAAAAUUCUUUCAGGGGUCAACAGGCAGGAGUGAGGGAGGAUGUUUCCCCUGUCCAGCGGAAAACCCUUGUGGAGACAUCUGCUUUUGUCAAAUCAAAG